UCACAGCACCUCACUUUCAACAUCAAGCAUGUUUUCUGGAGCUCUGCUGCUGCUGCUGGCAGCUGGAUGUGUGAAGGCUGAAACUCUGACACAGCCAGCCUCUGUGACUGUGCAGCCAGGUCAGAGUCUGACCAUCACCUGUCAGGUCUCUUAUACACUCAGAAGCUAUUGGACAGCCUGGAUCAGACAGCCUGCAGGGAAAGGACUGGAGUGGAUCGGGAUGAGAGACCACGUUACUUCACAUCACAAAGAUUCACUGAGGAACAAGUUCAGUUUUGACUCAAAUCCCUCCAUGAAAACAGUGACUCUAAACGGACAGAACAUGCAGCCUGAAGACUCUGGAGUGUAUUACUGUACCAGACUCUCACAGUAA